GCAUGCAAGUUUGUACACAAUUCUUAUAAAAAGUUGAGGGCUACAAUAUUCAACGUGUUACUUAGCAUAGAUAUGUUAUCAGUUUAAGAAACGUUAAAAAUUUAGAUGUCAACAAAUAAUUUUUUUUUAGGUUUCCGUAACAUUUUGUUUGGUUACAUGGGUAAACCCUGUGUUAAGGUAACUAAACAAAAUGUUAAAAUUUCAGUUGUUGAUCUUGUUGUCUUAACCAAACAACAAAUUUUAGAUUAAGACGAAGAAGUUUUCCACUUCCAAUUUUGUGCUAAAAUGAGCCAGAAGAACGAAAUUUUUUUAUACAAUUCAAGAUAAAAAUAUACAAUAUUGGGCAGUUAUGAUUAAAUUGAUCCCUCUACUUUUUGGUUGAUAAAUCCAGUCCAUCUUUUUGUAUUUCUUAAGAAAGUGUUUAUUUAUUCAUGAAUAUCUAUUUUGUCAAAAAGACAAUAUCCCAAUUCACUUAUGCCACCGUUUUUCCAAUCAUCCUAGUUGCUAUCACCGUCUCGACUUGGGAACUGGGUUAGUUCCUUAAGCAGACCUGGGCAGUGAAGCGUCUGGUCAAGACAGGGAUGUAUAUUCAUUCUUCGCUUUCUGGUAAUUUUGCCUUGAAUGGAAUGUACAGCUACCUCUGCCAUUGCUAAUAUAUAAGCGGUAGGUAUAAAACGCUAGGGCAAUAAAACUCAUAAUUGAGGACAACGAUGGGACUGGGAUAUCAGCCCAAACGUCGGUGGGAGAAGUGGCUGCUACCAUCGGCGGGCACAGUGAGUCUACUUACUAGGCCGCCGGGGGCUAUACCUCUGCUGAAAAGGCAGCAGUUCACAGCGUUUGUAGAGCUACUGCCAAACCCGUUUUACAACGCAUAGGCGCUAUGGUCCAUGAACACUCGGACUUCGAAAGCAUUAACAUGAUCAAAGAGUAAGUUUUGUUACGCUCUCCGAGGGAUGCCAAGGGUGCUGGCUCAGCAAUAAAGACUAGGCCCAGGGCAAAAUCCAGAAAGGAGGGUUGAAGGCGAAAGUUAUAUAGAAAGUGGCGGAUAAAUUCCAUGAAAGAUUUGGCUGUGAGUCCAACUGGACGAAGAAGAAGAGUAGAGGGUAGCUUGUCCUCAUAGAAAAAUGGAGGAAAGCUGAUCUCACUACGCAUCGUGACCGUAACUCUCGUCCAGAGGUCCAAAGUUUGUUAAUCGGAUCGAAGUGGUGAUUAUGUUCAAAAGGCUGCUGUCAGCUGAAAGCGAAACAGCGGGGACAGCCAAACGAUCGAAGCGAACGGACGACGCUGUAGAGUUAAGUGUUAAGUUAGACCAGAGAAACUUUCAACCCCCAGGGAGGCAGCAACUGAGCAGUGGGGCUUAAGCUGCUUGAUGCGCUCUUCGCGAAAAUGGAUGAAGAGCUGGGCACGUCUAUGCCAACGUUCCAACUUUUGAUUGUGCGGGCUAGCUAAAUAGAGCCAAAAUCCUAAAAUGUAAGCACGACCCCUCUAUGUUAUGGAUAAAGGAAGGAGGAAGGCAGUCAGAAUUACAUCGUCCAAAUAAACAAGUCCGAAGACAUUUUGUACGGAAGGUUCCGGAAGAUGGAGUGGGGUGUGGGUAUCGUAUAAAUUCCCCGCGAAAAGUGCAACCCGGCUCAUUAUAACGUAAACACGCUGGGGAAGCGAGGGGUCGAGAAGGAUCUAGGUGAGAUCGUGAAAGCCAUGAAGCAGAUGUGGGUGAUCCGGAGACUUAACCCGACCCGAGAAGAUGUCGAAUCUCAGCAGUGAAGUUUUUUCAGAUAAAUCUACAUAAAAUCUUAAUAUAGAGGGUAUCGGCUACUUUGUAGGUUUAGUUCAGGAACCAUGGAAAGCUAGGAAAACAUGGUGUCUGGACUAAAGCCGCCGUCAUAAUGCACAUACAUUCUGAGUGUAACAAACAACGUAAAAACUGUAAUACUGUGGUGGCUGUAAAGAACGACAAGGAUGCGACACUACUCCUUGCAUCCUGUUAUAUGCUCACGAUGAUGCAGCGGAACUCCGGCGGUUGAUAAAUGUGGUUUAGAAAGCGAGAAACCCCUUGGUAAAAGGCGCUGACGCCAAUUAGCACCUCACGGUUUUAGUGAUACCAACGUUAGGGGGGAGUCAUUACUAAAUUGUUUAGCUAACCGUGUAUAUAGGCUCUUCCUGGAAGACUACAUACUACGACAGUGAUCAAGGUUGAAGAUUGGGAGGUGUGUCGGACACACUUGAUUUCUAACGAUAGGUAUGCAAGAUUUUAAGUAAAAUUCUUAGCUCUCAAUAAAAGUGAAACCUUCAAAAAUCCCAAGAACACUUACUAGAAUUUGUUCAUUAAAAUAGGAUUUUAACCAAACUUGCCUUGCAUGUGAAUCAUCUUGGAAGUAAAAACACUUUCUAGCCGUAGGGAAAUGCUUGGCAUAGUAUUCUUAGUCAAAAAUUCGAAUGGAACAGUUUGCAGUUAUUUUCUCCUGUCUGAAAUUAAAUUUAAUAGCCCGGUUCGCUUUUCGAGGCAGUUUAGACCUUUACUGUUAAAAUCCUUUAGAUCAAAUUUCGAACUAAAUGAACCAUUCCGCCAUAUAUGUCAUGAUUUUAAUUCUCAUUCUAGCAUAUUUGACUUAUCUGGCUCAGUUUUCAAAAUUAAAAAGACUUUAUUGCUUUCUCG